rnacentral:tRNA from 1 species
CGCGCCUGCUUUGGGAGCAGGAUGUCAGGAGUUCGAAUCCCCUUACCCCGACCA